AUUGAACGCUGGCGGCAUGCUUUACACAUGCAAGUCGAACGGUAACAGGCCGCAAGGUGCUGACGAGUGGCGAACGGGUGAGUAAUGCAUCGGAACGUGCCCAGUCGUGGGGGAUAACUACUCGAAAGAGUAGCUAAUACCGCAUCCGAUCUAUGGAUGAAAGCGGGGGACCGUAAGGCCUCGCGCGAUUGGAGCGGCCGAUGUCAGAUUAGUUAGUUGGUGGGGUAAAGGCUCACCAAGCCAACGAUCUGUAGCUGGUCUGAGAGGACGACCGGCCACACUGGGACUGAGACACGGCCCAGACGCCUACGGGAGGCAGCAGUGGGGAAUUUUGGACAAUGGGCGCAAGCCUGAUCCAGCAAUGCCGCGUGCAGGAAGAAGGCCUUCGGGUUGUAAACUGCUUUUGUACGGAACGAAACGGCUCUGGUUAAUACCCGGGGCUAAUGACGGUACCGUAAGAAUAAGCACCGGCUAACUACGUG
rnacentral:rRNA from 1 species